rnacentral:lncRNA from 1 species
UUAUUGGCACGAGGCCCAACUGGAUUUUGCUGCGACUACUUAAUCAAGCCUGUCUCAAUCGGUAUCUUUCGAUACCACCACAAUGUGGUUGCGCCUUAGGACAGCAGCAUGUUAUUGCGCUGUGGCUGAGUGACCACCCGCAGCGGGAACGAAGGCCUGUGGGAAUGAGUGAGGAUUGGUCGCAGGAGCGGUGACUGGACAGUGGUCGGCACUAACCAGUAUCUUUUUGGAAAAAACAGGAUACCCCAAAACAUAUGGGCCGGCCGCUUUCUGGGCGGUACUGCAGAUCCAUUACAUACCUCGGUAAUAGCAGAUUCCUGCCCAUGGUCGUACAGGCCCAGCUAUGCGCUUAAUACAGCCCCAGGUAGCAUUGUUGACUACAUAUGAGUUGAACGCUUUGCAGUCGCCGUUGGUGGAACAGGCCGUCGCGACACCCUGCUGGCUAAUUACGCUGCACCAAAUAUCAUCCCCUACGUGGUCUCUGUCGACCAUGAGUGAAUAGCCUGAGAACCUGCUGCAGGCUGCAAGGGAUGAAGUAUGCAUAUGGGCAAGUGAGAUAGAGGCGUACGUAUGUAUUUACCAACAAUGCUAUGUAUUUAAGCUAUAGCUUAACCAGCCAUACCCUUUAUUACAAUGCUUCUGUUUCGUUUAAGUUGCUCAUAAGCAUAAUCAUGUGUACAUGUGCAUGUGGGCAAUGUGAAACAUACACCUACUCGGAGCUGGCAUAUGAAUCAAGCCUUUGCUCAAUGGCAUCGAUGUAUGCAUACAUCAGAAUCGCCGGAAAGGCCAUUCCCAAAACCCUCACAGCCACAAUGAGCCACGAUAAAAACUGUACUGUAUAUUUUGUAUGUCGGACCUGAGCAUGCAUGCAUGCAACGUGAAUCAAUAAAAUUAAGGAAGCCAGCUAGCUGUCACUAGCCACACACCACACACACACACAUGCUGUGCGUGUGUGUGGGUCAUGCAUGGAAGAAGGAAAGGAUGAGACCUGAAGCGAUCAACGAAAUAUGCGAGGGCAGAAGGCUUGCAGAUGUUGUGGGGUUCAGUGGUAUUCCUGUUCAUUCCUGCAGGUAUGUGAGCUGCACACCUAGGUCUACUACCGCACUAGCUGGAUUCCCACAUUACCCUGCACACCUAACCUUCCUAUACUUACACGAAAUCAGAGUAUCAAGCCUGGAUAGAUAAUGGUCUGCUGGUGGCCAGAAACGAGUGCGGAGCUCGCAUGAGCCAACAAGCAAAGCAAGGAAGGCAAACUUACCUAUUCGUGCAGGAGAUGGGGGCGGUGGCCUCAGUGGUGGCGGGCUGGGGGGUGGGGGCCUGGGGGGUGGGGGCCUGGGGGGUGGUGGGGGUGGUGAGCAAGGCGGCUGCGGGCUGGGAGGCAGCUGUCUUGGUGGCGGGGUCGUAGGUGGCGGCGGCCUUGGCGGUGGAGGUCUAAGAGGUGGUGGUGGCGCGGGGGGCUGGGGGGAAGGUGGUGGUGGUGGCACAGGUGGCUGGGGAGAAGGAGGUGGUGGUGGCACAGGUGGCUGGGGGGAAGGAGGUGGUGGUGGCACAGGUGGCUGGGGGGAAGGAGGUGGUGGUGGCACAGGUGGCUGGGGGGAAGGAGGUGACGGUGGCCUUGGCAGUGGAGGUCUAGG